UUAUGAUGAGUCAAAAGCAGUCCCAGGUAUGUCUUUUUUGACUGACGUUUACUUUACUAGGAGAUUGACGAUGUGAAAAGAUAAAAAUCCAAUAUGCUCGCUGACCCGAAAUUAUAUAUACUGUCAUUUCAUAAAAUUAUAUAUUACAUUUUAAAAAUCCCCUUGAGCAACAUAAGAAAAUGAUUUUAUUUAAGAAAAAAAUGACGGCUGGGUAUUUUUUUUCUUAUUUCUUAAGGAAUCUACAUAAAAUUUUAUAUUAUAUCCUUAUUAUAUAGAUACAAAUUGAGCCAUUUAUCCCAUUAUAGUUUCUAGAUUUGAAAAUUAUGAGCUAAAAUAUAAAUUUAAAAUGUAGAUAAGCAGAUUUAAUUAUACUUUGAGGAGAUUAAUGUGUCAUUUUAGUUAUUCAUGAAAUUAAAUUAUAGAUCAGAUUGUGUCCUUUUAAUUGUUCAUGAUAUAUCUAGAUCUUUACCAACGGAGGAUGUAAGAGCUUUUAUGGAAAUCCCAGCAAAACUUAGUAGCAUGUGCUCCAAUUAAAUGCCAUUAAUUAGAUCUAUUGUCAUUAAAUAUAUAUUAGCAAUAAUUGGCUAUAUAUUUAAGAUAAUACAAAUUAAAUAUAAACUAAUAUAUUAUAAUCUUAAAUUGGGACCUACUCUCAUUUUCUCUAUAAUUAAUCUGGGUUUCUUUUAGGGUUUUAUUAUGAGUUGUCCUGGUGUAGUUUUCGACAGCAAGGCUUCUUCUUUAUUUUGUUUAUUUUUCAUUCAAUAAUCCUAGAUUUAGUAUUCUUUCUUCUAGAUCUAAUAUUUUUUUAUAUCAUAUUUGUCUAGCUUACCCGAUAUUUUCUUUAGUUUAAGGCUUGGUCUUGAUCUUACCUGUUAUUUGUUUUUCCUGUGUGUCCUCUUGACCUUUUAUGGGUAUUAAUUUGGAAUGUAAUGAAGGUUUAUGUAGAUUGCUAAUAUUUUAAUUUUUCUAAAAAGGCGUAUCAAGUGGAAGAUCAAGGUAGUAUAUAUAUAUAGCUACUGAUAGAUCGAUACUGAUUAAAAAAAAAAGUGUUAAUUGUUCGUCCAUUUGUAAGAUGAUUUUGAUUUUUUUUCUAUUUGAAUUUUAGAUCUUUAGUUUUCUUUGCAAAAUUCACGUUGUAUUUUUUAUUUGGACGUCCUUAUAAUAACAUGUUAAAUCAUUUCAUUUUCUAUGCAGAGAAUUGUAUUGUAUUAGGGUUGACUUCAUAUCUAGAUGUCGAAGUCUUCUACAAUUUUAAUUUAAUGAAAUACCUAUCUUUGUCAAAAAAAUAAAAAAAUAAACUUGGACCUGCUUGUAGGUUUCACUAGUAAUCUAAUGAUACAUGUGUAUUUUUUUAAUGUUUAAUUAAUAUAUAUUAGUAUUCUCUUAAAAAUGCUUCAAGCCUCAGUAAAUUGUAAGAAUGUACAUGUAUUAUUAAAAGAAAUCUAAUUAGUAUGGUGUUUUUACUCUACAUGCACCAUAGCAAGUAAGGAUAAAUACUAUAGAUUGUAAUAGUAUUUUCCUUUAUGUUUUUUUAGUCAUUUGAUUUUUUUCUACCCCUAUCGUUAAAGUUUUUUUUUUUAAAAAAAUUAUUAUUCUGCAUUGCGUUGAGAAUUAUGCUUAAUAAUUUAUUUAUAUUUAUUUUCUAUAUGAUCAUCGUGGUGUUAAAAAAUAUUUUCAUAUUGGAUAGAUACUUAAUUUUACUUGCAAAAAAUUAUUUUCAUUACUUGCAAAAUAUUAAAUAAUAAGAAGACCAAAAGUGAAAGUGAGGUAACUAUUCACAAUUUUUUUAACUGUUCAUUGAGCACCUUUUCAAAGAUUUUGGCCUAUAGAGACUUUUCAUUUUCUUUUUAUCCCUUUAGUUUAAAACUUUUACUUUUAAUUCAAAACUUUAUUUUAUUAACAUUUAUGUGUCUAAGUUUAAAGAGAGAGAUGUUAAAAAAUGAUGAAGGAAAUGAGAGGCUAUGUGGGUUUGAGAACUUCUAGGGCCAAAGUUCGUUAAAGAACAAGAAUCUUGGUUGUGAAGGGGAAUUUAGUGCUGAAACAAGCUUCUUUCAAUGGCAGAAUAAGCACCCUGAAUUUUAGUCUGAAAGGCUGGCAAAAUUUAGCAGAAAGCCAUUUUUUUUUAAUAAGCUUGUCGAUAAAACAAUGCUAAAGCCACGGUAUUACCAUGGGCUGCACUAACUGGUUUACUGCUCUGUCUAUUCCUACUGUGAUUCCACAACCAAUGAACUUCCUGGUUAUUGCUUCCCUUCUCCGCAACUUUUUUCAUGCUUAGAUACUUUGCUUCCCAUCACUUAUAAUAUUUGAGAGGUUCAGGGAUGGAGAAAAGAAAAACAGCUGAAUAGAAGGCCCGUCAUGAGUAAACAUAGAAGAAUGAUUUAAUUUGCCGGAGCCAGAUGAAAUUGUUCCAAGAUACCGUGCAGACAAAGAGAUAAGAAUAGAAUUGGAGUUUAUAUCAGACAUUCUUAGCUCAAUUCUGACGAGAGGCAGCUAGGGUCAAGCCAACCAGAGAGUAGGUAUCAGCCCCCAGCAUUAUUAUUUUGGAAACUACCAGUGAGGAGUAGCAAUUUCCUUGUUUUGCUUUUCUUUAUGAUAAUUUCGUAUUGCGUUCUUGAGUAAUACUAGAUCAUCUACUUAUUACAAAUUAUUUGAUUUUCAUUUUUCCAGGCAAGUUGAUCUGGUCUCAUGUAACCUUGCAUUUCAAAAGACCAUUUUUGCACCUGAGGGUUAUAACCCAAGUUUGUAGUCCUCUGUUGGAGCUACUUUCAGAGUUCAUGGAUCUCAUUGUUGAAAAACCUCACCAGACUCCCUUGCCGGCGAUCUCAUUUGUUGGUCUCAGAUGCAUUGGUUUAUUGCGUCCGGACCGCUUCUGAAGAUCAUUCUAUCAAGAUCACGGCAUUUAUGGUCUGUUGCUGUCCAUCAAUGCUAUGGUUUAUGGCAAAAGCUUUUAAAUGUUAUGCCGAAAUUAGACAUACCACAGUUUGCUUAUAACACUGUUGAUCACUGUUAGAUGUUUGGUCACUUUCAAACUGACAAGAAUUAUUUAUUAUUGUGGUAGAUAAUCCGACAAACUAUGGGAUGGCCUAGUUGCCAGCGUUUCAGACUACGCGCAUAGCCUUUGAUGUGUGCUUUACAGGUCCGAGGGAGAUGAUGCGCGAGACAGAUGCUUUCAAAAGAUUUAUACUGGGUGGGGGUGUGUGCGUUUUGAAAAGCGAGCG
rnacentral:lncRNA from 1 species